rnacentral:rRNA from 1 species
CAGCCGCCGCGGUAAUACGUAGGUGGCAAGCGUUGUCCGGAAUUACUGGGCCUAAAGCGCGUGUAGGCGGCUCGGCACGUCGGACGUUGAAAGCCCCCGGCUCAACCGGGGAAGUGGCGCCGAUACGGCCGAGCUGGAGGGAGGUAGGGGGGUCUGGAACUUCCGGUGGAGCGGUGAAAUGCGUUGAGAUCGGAAGGAACGCCCGUGGCGAAAGCGAGGCCCUGGACCUUUUCUGACGCUGAGACGCGAAAGCCAGGGGAGCGAACGGGAUUAGAUACCCGCGUAGUCCCUGUCUCUUAUA